CCUUGGUCUCUUGCAAUGCAAAGAGGUCAAGGUUUAUCUUCCUCUCUACUCUCCUCAGUGGUGAUCAAGGAAAAUAAAAUCAAAAUACACAGAAAAUGAAACCAAGAGAAAUGGCAACGGUCCCACUACUCCGGACUGCUUAUCUGCAAUUGCUGUGUGCAAGAAACUCCUAAUACAUGUUGUGAGGGUUACCUGAUACCAUGGAGGAACUUCUUAUGAAGACUUUCCUUUAGUGGAAUUCAUGGUAAU
rnacentral:lncRNA from 1 species